rnacentral:rRNA from 1 species
CCCUUAGAUGUUCUGGGCCGCACGCGCGCUACACUGAUGCAUUCAACGAGCCUAUCCUUGACCGACAGGUCCGGGUAAUCUUUGAAUCUGCAUCGUGACGGGGAUAGAUUAUUGCAAUUAUUAAUCUUCAACGAGGAAUGCCUAGUAGGCGCAAGUCAUCUGCUUGUGUCGAUUACGUCCCUGCCCUUUGUACACACCGCCUGUCGCUCCUACCGAUUGGGUGUGCUGGUGAAAUGUUCGGAUCGGCCGUUUGUCGCGGUUUCCGCGUCAUGUGGCUGAGAAGUUCAUUAAACCCUCCCACCUAGAGGAAGGAGAAGUCGUAACA